rnacentral:rRNA from 1 species
CGCGUAGGCGGCAUGCCAAGUCAGGGGUGAAAUCCCGGGGCUCAACCCCGGAACUGCCUUUGAAACUAGCAAGCUAGAAUCUUGGAGAGGCGAGUGGAAUUCCGAGUGUAGAGGUGAAAUUCGUAGAUAUUCGGAAGAACACCAGUGGCGAAGGCGACUCGCUGGACAAGUAUUGACGCUGAGGUGCGAAAGCGUGGGGAGCAAACA